rnacentral:rRNA from 1 species
UUCGGUCUGGCGGCGAGUGGCGAACGGGUGAGUAAUGUAUCGGAACGUGCCCAGUAGCGGGGGAUAACUACGCGAAAGCGUGGCUAAUACCGCAUACGCCCUUAUGGGGAAAGCGGGGGACCUUCGGGCCUCGCACUAUUGGAGCGGCCGAUAUCGGAUUAGCUAGUUGGUGGGGUAAAGGCCUACCAAGGCUGCGAUCCGUAGCUGGUUUGAGAGGACGACCAGCCACACUGGGACUGAGACACGGCCCAGACUCCUACGGGAGGCAGCAGUGGGGAAUUUUGGACAAUGGGGGCAACCCUGAUCCAGCCAUCCCGCGUGUGCGAUGAAGGCCUUCGGGUUGUAAAGCACUUUUGGCAGGAAAGAAACGGCCCUGGAUAAUACCUGGGGUCACUGACGGUACCUGCAGAAUAAGCACCGGCUAACUACGUGCCAGCAGCCGCGGUAAUACGUAGGGUGCAAGCGUUAAUCGGAAUUACUGGGCGUAAAGCGUGCGCAGGCGGUUCGGAAAGAAAGAUGUGAAAUCCCAGAGCUUAACUUUGGAACUGCAUUUUUAACUACCGGGCUAGAGUGUGUCAGAGGGAGGUGGAAUUCCGCGUGUAGCAGUGAAAUGCGUAGAUAUGCGGAGGAACACCGAUGGCGAAGGCAGCCUCCUGGGAUAACACUGACGCUCAUGCACGAAAGCGUGAGGAGCAAACAGGAUUAGAUACCCUGGUAGUCCACGCCCUAAACGAUGUCAACUAGCUGUUGGGGCCUUCGGGCCUUGGUAGCGCAGCUAACGCGUGAAGUUGACCGCCUGGGGAGUACGGUCGCAAGAUUAAAACUCAAAGGAAUUGACGGGGACCCGCACAAGCGGUGGAUGAUGUGGAUUAAUUCGAUGCAAC